UAUAUGUAGAUAGAUAGAUAGAAUGGGUAUCUGAAGAUAUUUGGAAAUUUGAUCAAUGAAACUAAGAUGAAAGACAAAAUUGAUUUUGAUAAUUGAGACGCCUGAAAAUAAUAUUUAUUGGCCACAAGGGACCCAUUAUACAAAAUCUGUCAUACGAAAUGGGUUGCAAAAUGUGUGUGUUUAUAUGUAUAAGCAUACUUAAGUCUCAUGCACACACACUCUCACAUAUAUACACAUACAUACAUGUAUGUAUAUAUAUAUAUGACAUGCAUAUAUAAGGUGGAUGGGAGAGUAAAUUUUUGAUACAGUGUUUGGAAACACAAAUAAGGGAAACCUAUCCACACAGGGAUAGGAACCUGCCAUUCUGGUAGGCUUAGGGCAGCUCAUGGCUUGGAUCCCCUGCUUCAGCUUUAAUUGAGCUGUAAAGCACCCCUCAUCCUUUUGAAGACGGGCUCUUUACAAUUCUCCUGAACUUGAUAAUUCCUCAACUGUCAAACAGCCACUGACAUGGUCUUUUACAACCAUUCAUUACCAAGGGGUGCCUGGCACUUGUUUCCCCCAUCACCACCCUUCCACCAUCUUCCUCAGUCAGUAUUUGAUUCAUCCUCUCUCAUAGUCAGCAUUACCUCAAGUAAGCUAGGCUUCUUGUUCAAAUUACCAUUAAGUUCAGGCACUCUGUGGGGAUGGGCCUCUCUUUGUGUCAAACUUCCAGCCUUUUGCUUGCCUUUUGUCUGAGUUGUUUGUACCGUACUCUCUUACCCUUGACAAUUUCCCCAUCCUUCUUCAGUUUUUGCAUUGCUCCUUAUAGCAUCUGGUUGGGCUGGAGGAAGAUCCUUGGGCAUUGUCUAUCCCUGGUACUGGUGGCUUUAAGGGUGGGGCUAUUUCUUUUGCUUCUGCUCUGGCCAUGCAUAGAAUUGUGAUUGAUAGGGCUUUGGAAUCAAUGAUAGGAGCAGGCAGGGUUUUUUGCCCCUGGGGCCUGAUAUUGUUGGUGUUGUUGCUGUUUGCCACCCUCUUUUAUUUCUUUUAUUUUGCUUUUCUUCUGGACUGAACUACCUCAAGUGGCCUUUACUAACGUACAUAUAGCAACUGGGCCUUCUGACCUACAUCACCAAUCCAGUUGACUUCCUUUCCACUCCCUCAAUUGGGUACUGCUCCAGGACAGCCUUGUAAUCAUCAAGUUGGGUGGGUGGGUAUCAGGACUUGAAGAUUCAUAGGAACCCCCAUCACCACCACUCUGCCACACAUUGCUGUGGGUCAAAUCAGCACAACACCACAUCCUGUCUAUACAACAAGCAAAGGGUCAAUAUCUUCUUGGUAUCUCUCAUUGUGAUCCUCAGAUUACUGAGGCCCAUGUACCUUAGCAUCAGCCUAUGGGUGAUUUGUGUGGUGCACCUGCUCUACCUGUCCCCUCUUGAUUUUAAUGACCAGACUCGCAUAUCCAUAUAUCGUGACUCAGUCAAUGCAACACAUCCUGUGACACUAGCAAUCAUCUAUCAUCUAAGAGUGCCUGGUACUCAUACCUCACUAUCCUCAAUCAGCACAGUAUUUGAUUCAUCCUGUUUUAUGGUCAAUAUUAAAUAAGUAAGUUAGAAUUCUCCCUUCAAAUUUACCAUAAAGUUCAGACACUCCACGAGGAUCAGCACCUCUUCAUGAGGGACUCUUAGCCUCUUGCUUGCCUUUUGUCUGGGCUCAUUUUUGCCUCGUCUUUCUUUUCUCACUGUUUCCAGCAGUUUCCCCCACCCUCAUCCAAGAUUUUCUCUCGCUCCUUUUACAAGAAAGUCCUGCUUAUAUAACUAUUUCCUUUUGGGGGUUAAUAAUUAUAAUAAUUACAAUUAUAAUUACAGAUGGACUGGCAGAACUAAUAGAAUAUAAGAUUAUCCAAUAUUAUUUCACUUUGUCAUUUUUAGUUCUGUGUUCAUAUCCUAAUGGUAUUUGAUUUUGUAUUUUAUAAUCCUGGGUCUGAUAAAUUAAGUACUAAUUUAUGCACUGUGAUUUGUUAUCCAACUAUACUUCAAAAUUCAUGUCUUUGUGCCAAUGUUAGAAACUGUUGUUAUUUGAGUGCAGUUGAUAAAAAAAAAUCAAAAACCUCAGUAAUUAACUGGUACUUGUAUUUUAUCAAUCCAAAUGUGGCGGGCUGGCAGAAUCAUUAUCACACUGGACAAAAAUACUUAGCAUCAUUCCUUCUGGCUCUUUAUGUUCUGAGUUCAAAUCCCACUGAGAUUGACUUUGUCUUUCAACAUUUCAGGGUUGAUAAAAUAAAUACCAGUUGAGUUGCUGGGGUCAAUAUAAUCUACUCACCCCUGCCCUCAAAAUUGCAGGCCUUGUGCCAAAAUAAGAAAGAAAUUUAUUUUAUCGACCCAUUCACUCCUCUUCUCUUGAAGGAUGAGAGGCAAAGUUGACCCCGUCAGGGUUCAUUCUCAGAAAAUGUUUCCCCUGCUGGUUUCAUCUUUGCUCACAUUCUCCUAGGGCUACAGUGAAGUGCUGGGGUUGAUGGGGUUGCUAGAAAUAACUGUUACCCUCACCACAAAUCUCUGGCCUUGUGCCUGUAUUAGAAACCAUUUUUAUUAUUAUUAUAAUUAUUUGUUGUUGUUGUUGCUAUUUUUGUUACAGUUCAGUAGUUGGUGUACAACCAAUUCUGAGAAUUACUCUUAGACUGAUAAGACUUCUAAAGAAGGCAUGAACAUUACAACAUCCUGUUUUCUUCCCUCUAGCCCUCUCUUUUGUAAAUCUGAGACCACCUUUCUACUUGAAAUAAAAAUCUAUCAUAUUAAUACUGUACACCUGAGAACACACUGUAAAACAAAGGUAAGCUCCCAGCUGAGUUUCAAACCAAGAUUGCUUGCAUUUCACUUCACUUGAAAAAUUAAUGUAUUUGGGAAAAGGCAUGAAAAAAAAAAAAUCACAGUUUCUGGUUCUAACUUUUCUAAAAAUGAAUCAUGUCUGAAGCCUUUGUACUUACA
rnacentral:lncRNA from 1 species